GGUGCGACAGGUGUACAUGAGGAUCCUCUCUCUUUAAAGCCUUAAAAAAAUUGUAAUGGAGGGGUUACUAUUUUUAACCCGACUAUAUAAACUCUUCAUUGGACACAUAGGUUCAUUCCCCCCUAAAGUUGCGGUUGGAGGGACGCGUCUCACUCAGGGCGCCCCCUCCCCCCCAAGGAGAGCUACAUCGUCACAUCAGCUAGCAUUCAGAAAAAAGCCGGUAUGGAAAACAAGCAUCUGGAAACAUAAUUAUAUUGCCUAGUUUUCCCGAAUGCGGCAAGGGGACCAGAUGCAAACGAGCCCGGAUGAGCUGAUUACUGACGUUGGAUCCUGCCUGAUCUGUGCCUGCCUCACGUUGAGCCACGCGUAACAAUACCUGAACAUUAAGUUUUGUUCGUUCGGCUCGCGUUAAGCAGGUACAGAUUUGCGUCCCACCGAGGAAACUUCCACCAAACCAAUGGAAGAGAAGAACAAAGAGAUGACAGAAAGUUUGAGGAAACUCUUGGAUCUUCCACUGAUGUCAAGGUGAACCAGAGUCCCAGCAUUUCCACCUGAAGGCUAAGGGAAAUAUAUGAAUGUGAAUAUACCCCCCAUUAUACAAUACGCAAUUCAGUCAUUUAAAAGAACAACUGUUAAUAUAUUGAUUAUAAUAUUAAUUAUCCGUCAUAAAAUAUUCUUUGUAUUAUGUUAUGAUGUCAAGUUUACAGAUAAUCCUGAACAUGAAAUUUUGAAAUCCCACGUAAAUAGGUUUCAUUUUCGGUUGCUCUGUGUUCUCACACUUAAAACUGGAUUAACUAACUAUUUCAGUUCAGUCGUACUUUAUAAAUAUGUUGUGAAGUCAUUAUGUCAAUAAGCAAUGUCAGUUUUUAGGUCUUGAAUUUAGGGAAAUACAAACGGUGUAAAAGUGCGUGUACGUAACUGUUUCCUUGCAUUAUUUCAGCCAAUUACAAGACGAUUGCAGUUUCUGCCGUUUCUUCUUUGAGAUUUAUGUUACAGCUUAACGGAUUCUCUAGAAAUUCAUCACAUACUGUCUGCAUAUAACCAAGUAACCAGAAUAAAGGAAAACUGAUAACAGUA